AUGAAUCCUCACUCUUACAAGUCCAUAAAUUCAUCUAUAAAUUCAGUGUCAGAUUAAGGUCAGACAAAUCUCUACAGAUGGGGGGAUGGAAAUUGACUCUGUUAACUGCCAAUAAAAGCAAGGCUUUAAAAUCAACUGGAUUUAGGACUCAUAAUGAGGAACACAGACGCGAGGGAGUCAGGAAGAAGUUAUAUCAGAUGGAGCCAAGAGGCUUCAUGUAGGUCUGGAGUUGCUGGUUUGGUCGGGCCGGGCAGUUGUUGGAGUGUGAUGACAGGGUUGAUGCGGAGGACUGGUUUGGCUUUCAAACAGGAUAGGGACAAAGGGUGGAAGUGGCAGGCAGUACGUCCAGCAAAAUAACAAGCAAACUUGUGGCUGUAGCGUCAGUACCACUCUGGUAGACAGAUCAAACACAGGCGAAGACUGAAGGGAUGAGCCGGGGGUUAAUGGAGGAGGCGGUGGAGUCGAUCAGCUGGCGUCUUGCAGCUGUACAGGUGUACUGGUGGGAAAGGGCACCGGGUAGCUUUGCCCAGCAGUUCACACACAGCUCAACACAGAUGGACUGCAACAAGGACAGAUGGGGGGAAAACAAACAAGGGAAUGAAAGGAAAACACUUUAACCCUGACAGAAGGCGGUACACAGUUCAUGGCAGUGCCUCCAGUUUUACCAAACCUGUGUGAUAUUGUAGCAUGCACAUCUGAAGGGGCAACACACUGGCAACAAAUAAUUGACAACAUUACUUACAUAGAUUAUUGCUCAAUAUGUUCCACUGAGUAGAAUCUGCACAGAAGAAAUAUGGAAACAAUUUACUGCACAUGUGCGAUGCAAACAUAAAACACUGGCAGCAAUAUGUCAACGUAAAGGGUAAUUACUCAAGCAGUCAUUCAGAUCAGUAUGACCUGAAUGCAUAUUGAUAAUUAUAAUUCAAAAAUGCCAUAUUUCUGCACCGAGGCGAGGCAAAACAAUGAAUAGAAAUUCUACCUGAAAGCACCGACGCAUAGCAGGAUGUUGAAAUCAUCGAACAAGUGCUCAGUCAUUUCAAAAUCCAAAAAAGCAUCAACAAAACUCCACAAUGAGGUCGUGGGGGGUGGAGCGGGCGUCCUUCCCCCAGAGUCCCUGCAGCCUCGGCCUCUUUUACUCCAUCUCUGCUCCUCUGCAUGGAUAUGUCAGCCACUGUGGAAUCAAUUUCUCCACUGGCGCUUCAGGUUUGGAUACAUUUUUCAAUUCGUUUACACUCAUUACCAGGAAAUAGCCAGAGGCAGAAGCAAUCGAGGCACCUGCAAUAUAAUCCCUCAGAAUUAUUUCAUGUCACAGUGUUUUGGUUUUAAAUGGAAGACAUCAGAAAUCUGGGGAAAUGAGACAUUUAAGAUGGUUGUGGUCACAAGCAAACAUGGGCAGUGGCAAAUCAUGAAUAGUAAUCUCUUAAUCUCUAAAUGAAAAUCAUAAAUUAAAACUUGAAAAUGCACUUCUUUGUACUGCAAUUAAAUCUGUGAGUAAAAUAAUCCCAAAAUCAGAUUAUAUGUCAUUUUCAGUGCGAUUCAGUCAUUACGAAAAAGACUGACAAACUCAAACACCAGCAUGGUUGUCAAUGGACCGAAAUGAAGGAUCCUUGUGAUGCAGGUCACGAAUGAAAAACUGACUGUAGCAUCUUAAUAGAGCAGAGACGUUGUCAACAUUUGCAAAACAAAUGGGGAAACGUGCCGCUUGUUUUCUCUGCGGAUGGAAAGGGAAGACAGUCUGAGCAUUACACUCGAAUUCCUGUGGAGGUCCUGUCAAGCGUCCUUUAGUGAGAUAAAAGCGGCCGAUAAAGUGUUCUUAUCUUUGAUCCAGGUUUACGCCUUGUGAGACUGCAUAAUAGAAAGCUGCUAAAACUCACCUUUGGAUGAGUGAAGAUGAUGAUGUGGACGAUGAAGGAGCAUGGUAUUUCUUUUUUAAGAACAUAUCAAAGGGACACUGACAAUCCAAAAGUGAAGCCUUUAGCCAAAAGCCAACUACUCCCCCAGAUAAUAACCCAGACCGGCUAUUCAGACAGUGCCAGGGGAGCUGAUAAUGGCCACUGUCACGGUCCGUCAGCGUGAGCAGAAACACGUACGGACUCUCAUCACAGCUGCAGCCGCGCUGCGUGAGGCCGGGAUACCCGCUGGCUGCUGCCUACAGUGUAGGGGCUGGAUGCUGAGUUGAAGCGUCACCCCUACAUAUGUUUCUGCCCAAGUGUCCCCGAGAAAGAUCCCAGAUUCUACUUUUGUAGACUUUUAUAAUUGAAGCCAAUAAUACAUACACUGAGUGACGGUGUUAGUUUAGUAUCUGGAUGUUACUUUAUCUGGCAACGUCCAAAGACAAAGCUUCAAGUGAAAUAUAUGUCUGACUGUCAAAUCAAUAGACCUUUAACUAACAGUAAUUUAUGAAAGAAGUUGAAAUGUUUUUUUUAGAUUUGGACCCUGCCAACUGUCACUUCAUGAGCCAAACUCUACUAACUCUGCUUGAUUCAAAUAAACGGGAGGGGGGGUGAACUAAAUCAGUAACAUACAACAGUUGCCAUGGCGUACAGCCCUGUUUGAUACCCAGUUUCUGUGAUUUGUAUAUUUGGAAUCAGCUCUUGCUUUCUUUGGAGAGAGACUCACUGACUUAGCCUAUAAUCCCUGAGCAUGAAUCCCCAACUCCUUGAGUAAACUGAGCAUGUGUGCAUGCCGCCGCACUUUCAUGAGUAGCCGCAUCCUGUGGCAGAGCCUAGUUCUUUUCUCUCGGCUGUCUGGGAGGGGACAGCAGGGGUGCAUGGGCAAAUAUAGAAACUUUUGAAUGGGGAUGGGGCGGAUGUAAACAUUUGUUAGGACCAGGUUCUUGGAAAUUUGUGAACUGCUAUUGAGACCCUGAAGUUUUUAGUUUUUAUGCUUUUACAUUUUGAUGUUAUUUUAUGUCUUUUACAUUGUAUUUAUUAUCCACCUCUUCAUGUUCAGCUAAAGGUUUGUGUGGCUGUGGUUUGUGUCCCCACAGGGACAAUAAAUAUACUCUUGUUGCUUUAUUGUAUUCACUGUAAUUAAUGAAUUCCAAAUAACUCACUUUAAAUAUUCUAAUUUAAAACUGCAUCAAUGAAUAGCUUCUAUUGAUAACUCCAAAGAGCCAUGAGACAAUGGACUCCUGGAAACAGACGUAUAAAAUAGAGAUGCAGAAACUGCAGAAAAUCAAAGUCAUUUGAUGUCUCUGCAGCUGUUUUGUGUUUUUUGUCAGUUUGCUCCUCUCUCCGGUCAUAAUGUGAUUCAUUUCUCAUCUGUUGUCAUUCUGCGUCCCAUUUGUACUCACUUUGUUUCUCUCUAAUGUUGUUCUGUGUCUUGUUGAGAUUGUUCAGCAUCUUUCCAACAAGAAAUGUUCCAUCCAUGGUACGAACAAGCCAACCACUUACAGCAGUAGUGUUCAGCCCUGUCACUGGGAGGUUCUAAUUGUAUCCCUUACUCCAGAUUUAUAUUUCAUUUUAAACUUUACCUAAAAUACUAAUUGUA